rnacentral:lncRNA from 10 species
GUGAGACCUUGAGCACUGUUAAUUCCAGUUGUGAGUGAAGGUGAUGACUGACAUGUUUUCACAGAGGACAGUUUUCAGGUCUUGAAGAGAUCUGUUGGGAUAAACACUUUCAAGAUAAUAGCACUGGGGCAGGACAAAAGCAGCAUCAUUGUGAAAAUGCCUUCAACCUGAAACAUUCUGAUGGAACUAUGCAUGAACAAUGGACACAAACUGCCUAAUGUAGAAGGUGGUGGAAAUGUGACUAUGAACUGGUGACCUCCAGAACAUCUCCUCCUGCUGCUUCACAGAGCCUUGCAGCUGUCACCUGGACCUUCCUUCUGCAGCCUAUAGGUGGCAAUGAGAGGUUUCUCUCGGAUGCUUUUCUUUUCUUCAGGUCUGAUGGUAAUGACAGAUCAUUCAGAAGCAUGCUGUGUUUGGAAUGAAACCAACACAGCAACAGUGUUAUAUACACUGGGGGAAUGUUUGUCCACAGUUGCAAAAAAGCCAAGCAAA